rnacentral:lncRNA from 1 species
GGGAAUGUCGAUCUCGAAUCUACUCUAUAUUAUCACGAACAGAUCCGAACGAGUUCGGGUAUUCUAUUACGGCCAAAGUACGCCGAGACAGAAAGACAAAGUUCUAGAAGAAAAUUAGGGUUCAGAGAGAUGAUUUUUAGGCGAGAUCUCUUGAGCAGAAAUUGGAAAUCAAGGGUUUGAAUUUCAAUCAAAAGAACCGUUUGAAUCAGGACGUUGCAGUUCAGACGAGCCUGAUGUGAUUCUUCAGAUCUUUUAUGAUUUUGGGAAGAGAACAAAUUUGACUUCAAUGAGAGAGGUAACAAUGUGUGCCAUCAGAGAAAAGAGUAAGCUUUUAUCUCAAAAAGGAGGAACAAAGUGUCAGCCAUGGUUGUGGCAGUUCAAGCUUUCGUUAAAAUGGGAAAGGGGCAUGUGAUCGUCGCUGAAGAGAGAGGGGAUGAAGCCAGACGUCACCUAGAUGUUUAGGGAUUUUUCUUCUUCUUACGAUGUAACUAGUUUCGGGUGUAUUCCAAGUUAUUUUUAC